CAGAGCGCGUGAACUUAACCGCUCGGCCAUGGGGCUGGCCCCAAACUGUCCUAUUUUUAAACAAAAUUAUAUCCACUCUAUAGUUUGGUAUUAUGGAACAAUAGUGACAGUCAAAAUUUUGACUUAGCAAAAUUACUUUUGGAAAUUGCACAGGUUGGUGAAAUCCAAAAGUCGGAGAACUCCUGAUUUAGUAGAUGCCUUCCAUUCUAGAAAGGACCUAUGGUCUCCCUAACUUACUCUACUCAGUGCUGCUUUUAGAUGCUUGUUCCUGCUCUUUCCCUAACCCUGGAAUACCAAGCCUUCAAAUUCCACCUGUUUUUAAAGACCUGCCAUUUUAUUCAUUCAUUCAGUCAGUCUGUCAGUCAGCUUACUCAAAUAUUUACUGAGCAUCUAAGUGGAAGGCAUUACGCUUGGCUGAAAGAAUUAGAAGUGUGUGUGCCAAGAUGAUUAGCUCAUGAACCCUUCGUAAGAGUUUUAUAUACUACGCUCUCCAUCAAGUCUUCAGUGAUGGACUGAUUAACAAUUUCUGAAUCGCAUCACCUGUUAAUGGAAUGAUGAGGGGCCAGACUAUUUAAAAGCAGAGCUGCUUUGGAAAACCCAGCACAUACAGGUCACAGUACCUACUACAUGACACAGUCUCAUAGAGAAGGCUUUUUGGAUGAGUCACAGCUUUAAAAACGAAAGGGGGCAGUAAUAAAGGUUUGUACCUUAAGUCAGAUGGGAGAAGCAGAGCUUUCUAUCUCCCUAAAUCUAAGAACUAAUGUCAACAAAUCUUCUGAUUAUUUCACCACGAAAGAAAAUGUUCUGAUUAAUUCUUUUUUAACUAAUAAUCCUUUUUAUACCUCUAACAUCAGAGUGGUUGUUUCUGAAUAAAAAGUCUCUUGUUUCUCUUUUUUUCACAGCCUUUCUCUCUCUAAUCCUCACCCUGCUGAAUUUAAUUGCCUUGGCAAUGCCAAAACAAUGUCUGAUCCUAAUAGGUCAGCAUUGAUCGCUCUAAACCAAUUGGUUCCUUCAUUAGCAAGAAAAUGAAGUAAAGAGAAAAGGCAGGUGGCUCCCGAAUAGCCAGCUGGGCUUUUGUUCCUCUUAUAGUGCCUCUCUCUCAUUAAACAGUAGCUGAUCGAUUGGCAACUUGCUCAAAAUCCACAAAAACUAUUCAUCACUUUUGACACUGACCUGUUUUAACAGGCCACUCAACUCGAGAUUUGGAUAGCCUAGACAGUUACUUGUGGGGCCCACCACAUCCUUCUCAGACAGAUCUCUCUGAAGAUCAUAUGAAGAAAAAAGGACACGUCAUCCAAAGAACCAUUUCCUGGCAGGGCACCAAGUAAAGCCCUGAGUGGCUCACCCCACUUUGAGUCUUAGGAGCAAAGGCUGCCCAGGAGGAGGGUCCUUCUCCCAGAGUCCAGAUUCUAUGGCACAGACAGGGUGGAUGAGGAACUAGUCUUGGUGAUACCAGCAAGUAGAAGUAAGCAGGGGUCUAAAAAUGUCAGUCACCAAAGAGAAAGAGAAGAAAAUGAGGUAAAAGAGGGAAAGGGAAUACAAAAAAGGAGAGAAAAGAAAACAUACACAGGAAAAACAGAAUUCAUUCAGAAUGCACUACUUUGGCUGGUUGGGAAGUUAAGAAAGAGAGCAGACUAGAGUUUCGUCAGAUGGUCUAGGAAACUACCUCUCUGUCAGAACUGAUGAGUCACUUAUUCCUGGGGCCAGGUGACUCUGAGCACCAUGACACACUGCUAGGCACUGCUUCAAGCCAGUUGAACCAGCCUAGGGAAGGGCAGUAUCAGACAAUCUCAACUGAGCAUCUACUUACAUGCGAGAGACCACAUAGGCACUUCACGUACGAUGUCUUAUUGAGCCUGAUGACAAUCCUAUGAAGGGGUCAUUUCUAUCCUCAUCUUACACACAAAAAAAUAGGAUUCAGAGACAUAAAGUAACUUGUUCAAGGACACACAGCCAGUAAGAAAUCGAAUAUAGUUCUGUUCAAUUCCAAAGCCCAAGCCCUCUUAAGGAAACUCUGAUGGGAAAUUUGAAAACGAAAAAGCAAAAAAUAAAUCCAGAGCUAACUUAUGAAGUAUAGAAAUAAAGAAAAAUAUAAAAUAAGACAAUGAUUUUUAAAGGAAAUGAAAAGAAUGGAAGGAAGACAUAGCCACAGGUUAUUGCUUUCACCUCAAUGGGUUCUUGGUAAAUGACCCCUGCUUCUGCACAUUCUGAGAGGAGGAGGCAGGGCCAACAUUGUUGACGACAGCCUCCCUUCCACUUGAUGCCUUUCCACACAGCUAGCAGGGUGGCUGAAGAGAACUGGACUGAAAGACAGUCAAAUGCCCCACUAGUAGGUCAAUUUUCUCCUAAAUUUCAAAUCCAGAAAAAGAAACAAUUUAUUUCAAUUUACAUGUCAGUAAUUCCUUGUGUUAAUAGAACCAAGAUCUAAGAAAAACGAUUCACUUCUCAUACAAUCUGAAGCUUCACCACAGUUACUCAGUAAAAAAACACUUAUCAAUAUGUUAAAUUUAUUCACCAUUCACAAAACACAUUCCAUGUUCAAAGUACCCACUUAAGGCUGGAUGAACACUGCUAUAGUUAUUAAAACCGUAAUCUUAAAACCAAAAUCUUAUUACAAUAUUGAUUUAUAAGGGAAUAUCAGCAAUAAUUGAAAUAAGAAAUAAUCAAGAGACGAAUUUUUGUAAAUAAGAUUUACCACUAAUGACAGACCCACAGAGAUGUUGAAUCUCUCAAAAUCUUUAUUCCAUUAAAAAGAAUGGGGGGAAAGAGAAAGGGACAUUUAUUAGAGGCCCAUUAUCUCCUGGGCACUAUGUUAUACUCUGGAGAUACAAAAACGAAAAGAUCAAAGUACUGUUCUCUGGGAGUUCAGAGUCUAGUAGAAGAGACAAAAUGUUUGGUAAAUCAUUCAUCUAUCCAUUCGCCUAUCCCUUCUUUCAUUUUUCCAACCAACAACUAUUUAAUGAGAACCUGCAAUGUGUUGCCAAGCAUUGGGCUUGGCACUGGGAAUGCAACAAUGAACCAGAAAGACAUGCUGUGCCCUCAGGAACUCAGACUCUAAUGGGGGAAAUAGGCCAGGAAACAGGCAACUAUGAUAAAAUGUGAUAAGUGCUAUGACAGGAGAAAGACAGGGAACUCUGACAGCAUGCAAUAAGGACGCCAUUGAUGAAGGAUAAACAGGAGUUAGAAAGGCAAACAAGGGGAAGAAAAACAGAAGAGAAAAUUCUUUUGUGGUAAGCAAGAACAGUAUGUGGGAAUGCUCAAAGACAAGGCAAGGCAUGUCAAAAGAACUUAAAGAGAUUCUAUGGAUGCAUCAUUCAGUGGUAGCCAGCCUCCAAUAUGGCCCCUCAAUGGUUGUCUUCUGCGUAGUUCCCUCCCAUACCACCAGGGCUGACCUUUGUAACCAACAGGAUAUUAUGGAAAUGAUGGUGUGUGACUUCCAAUGCCGUGUUAAAAAACAAAACAAAACAAAGCAUGGUGGCUUCUGCUUUGCUCUCUUUUGAAUCACUUUCUUUGAUGGAAGUCAGCCACCAUGCUGUGAGGACGCUCCAGCAGUCCUCUAAAGAUGCCAAUAUAGAAAGGAACUAAGGCCUCUGCCAACAGCCAGUGUCAACCUGUGAGCCAUGCAAGUGGCCACCUUUAAAAGUGAAUCCCUCAAGCCUGGUCAAGCCUUCAGAUGACCAAAGCCCUGGCUGACAUGUUGAUUACAAUCCCAUAGCAGACCUCAAGCUAGAACCACCCAGCUAAGUUAGUCUCAAAUUCCUAACCCAUGGACUGUGAGGUAACAAAUGCUUAUUGUUGUUUUAAGUCACUGCGUUUGGGGUAAUUUGUUACCCAGCAACAGGUAAGCAAUGUAUUUAUCAUUCAAGUCGGGAGGGAGACGGCUGAGACUGGAGGCUGGAAACGUAGGCGGGGCCAGAUCAGGAGACGGCUGAGACUGGAGGCUGGAAACGUAGGCGGGGCCAGAUCAAGUAAAGCUUUGAACAAGACCUUAUCCUGAAAACAAGGAGGAGUCAUCGGAGGUUUUGAAACAGCAAAGUGAUAAAGCCAGCUGUCAAAGGACUGAAGGAGGUGCAGAGCAGCUGGCUUCCCCUGGGGUGAAGCUUGAUCGAUGGGGAAGAGAAGACGGGAGAGAAUCAUGCCUGAUGAACAACCUGCUGUGUGUCUUUGCAGUAGUUGUGAAGUGGUGAACAGCACAGUAGUGCACUGCAUCACAUUUUCACCCGACAUUUAGCCUCACCAUUUCUUCCUUUACCCUCACUGCUCUGGGCUGGAACCUACCAAAGAAAAUGUCAGCACUUUAA